CCUACGGGAGGCAGCAGUGAGGAAUAUUGGUCAAUGGGCGCGAGCCUGAACCAGCCAAGUAGCGUGAAGGAUGACUGCCCUACGGGUUGUAAACUUCUUUUAUAUGGGAAUAAAAUGAUCCACGUGUGGCUUUUUGUAUGUACUUUAUGAAUAAGGAUCGGCUAACUCCGUGCCAGCAGCCGCGGUAAUACGGAGGAUCCGAGCGUUAUCCGGAUUUAUUGGGUUUAAAGGGAGCGUAGGUGGGUUGUUAAGUCAGUUGUGAAAGUUUGCGGCUCAACCGUAAAAUUGCAGUUGAAACUGGCAGUCUUGAGUACAGUAGAGGUAGGCGGAAUUCGUGGUGUAGCGGUGAAAUGCUUAGAUAUCACGAAGAACUCCGAUUGCGAAGGCAGCUCACUAGACUGCAACUGACACUGAGGCUCGAAAGUGUGGGUAUCAAACAGGAUUAGAUACCCUAGUAGUC
rnacentral:rRNA from 1 species